UUAACUCAAAUUUGUAUGGAGUGGGAACGUUUGCCUACAUUUGCCGCUAGGGGCGCUGUUCCAAUUGCACAAAAAUUUGGGUUA
rnacentral:pre_miRNA from 1 species